GGCCCGGUAGCGGAUGGUCUGCGCCCGUGAUUUAUGUAAGGUCGUGCAACAAGUAUUACGCGAGUCGCUCGUUCGAUUCGAGCCCGGGCCA